rnacentral:lncRNA from 1 species
AAAAAAUUUAAGUGUUGUGGUAAGAUACCCUGGAGGAAAUUUUGUGAAUGGAACUUCAAACAGUGUCUCCUUUAUUAUUGAUUUAAGGACUGUGUUACCUGAAUGGGUUAGAAUUGGGUUUUCUGGUGCAACUGGACAAUUGGUUGAAUUGCACAAGAUUCUUUCUUGGACUUUUAAGUCAAGCUUCCAGUGAUGUGGUUACAAGCUCACAAGAUAAUGUGUUUUAAUUUUCAGAAUAAUGUUGGUGAUUUGAUUUGUUUGCACUGAACUAUAUAAUGCUUAUUAUUAUUAUUAUGAUACCGUGUGAUGCAAGGUAUAUUCAUAAAAAAUAUAUAUUAUCAAUUACAAUAUUUUUAUUGAAUAAAUCAGGACUGAGAACUUUAUAACCUCUCCCUCAAUUCCUAGUGCAAAGCUUCCUAAUUAAUUUUACGGAUGAGCGAUGCUAAACAAAGCGAAUUUUUUUAUCGCGGAAACUUCACGAGUGUGUUAAUUUUUAAUUGCAACAGCCUUAACCUUUGACCUGGCCGGUAAACACGGUAGAUUGGUAUUAAAUGGCUAAUCACAAAAUGCCACAUAAUGUCGUGAAUGGUAUUUUCGCUACACACAACAUUUCCCUUUACGAAUUCACAAGAUUCAUCUCCAAAAUAUGCAUGGAUGCGACAAGGGACGGUCUAGGUUUCGUGGGGCUCAAGAAAAAUCGUUAAAACAAAGAAAUACCUAACAUCACUUUAACUUAAACUCGAGUCUCCCUAUCAUAAGAAUAAAACACAUUAAAACAACAAUUCAUCUUAAUUUUAUAUAACACACAUUAGCUAACAUCACUAGUAGGUUUUUCAAAUUUAAGAAGCCACUGUUCGUCAGGGUGAGUGGAUGGGUGGGGAAAGGCAAGUCUAUGAGGAAGCACGUAGAUUCGAGGAGAGAAAGGCGCCCAUGGUGAUGUAAUCGGUGAUGUUGAAGGUGAGGAUGAUGUGGAAUUAGGCGGCGAGAUUGUAGAAUUUGUUGGGAAUGAUUGAGUCAAGACAACCAACCACGAAAGGAAGAUGUGUUAUUUGUCUGGUGUGGGUUCAAAGUUCCACGUUAAAUGGAAAAUUGGAUGUUGGAAAACAUAUGAGAGGACCCACGCGCAUAAUGAUUUGAGGUUUUUGAAAAAGAUAUGAUAUCCAACGUCACUUGUAUGGUUACUCCUAGUCCAAUGCAUUGUUCCCCCGACUCCCCUCACGACCCAGCAAUGGAAAUCACUCAUUGCAUCAUAGCUUGAGGGUGCAAGUGACCAUCAAUUACUUGUGUUCAUACAUGUCCGUCCAUAAUAAUAGAAAGGUUUUGACACUUUUGCAGGUAUGGAAAUCAUAUUCUCAUAUAAGCAUUAUAUCUUAGAAUGGAAAUCCUAACAUAACGUAAUAAUGAAUAAACCAUCAAUUUAGUCCUUACCUUCACUUUCACUCUAUUUUAAUCUCAAAACUAUUUAAGUAUAAUUAGUCUUUAAAUAGGAAACCUACCAAUUAAGUCUCUGAAAUAUAUGAAAAUUCGUCAAUAGUCUCUAAAAUUUUAACAUCAAGAACUAUAUAAUGACGGAUUUCAUAUAAUUUAAGGAGUACUUAUUAUAUUUAUAUAGCUAAGAGACUAAAUUGGAGAUCAUACACAACAAGAAAACAUGAUACUACUCGCAAACAUUACUGAUGGCCUAAAUCCCUAGAAAAUUCCAACAUUUUUUUUGUUCUUUGUAGUGGCCAACCGGAAAUAUGUAUGGAAAACCAAAUGUUUUUGCUUGUUCAUAGCGGUUUUUUAGUAGCAAUUUCGGCAGGUGUAUUUAAAACUUGUUAUUUUGCUUCGGUUUCAGCUGCCGGUAAUUUUGCGGCAGUUCAAAACCGCCGUUAAAUACUCAAUGUUUUAAAAGUUUCAAAUUUGGAAACAUUAAUCACUGGAAAUGUGGGAUUCUAGGUGCUUUUUGUAGUGUGAUCAUUUACUUGACUUCCCUGUUGUAACACAUUCUGGUGCUAAGUAUCCCAUUGUUCCUGCCAAAACAGUUGUAUGAUAACCAAGUUCAUGAUCUACUAGUCAUGCAAGACCAAAAUCACCAAGUUUGGCAUUGAAUUUGCAUCUAACAUUACAUUGCUUGACUUAAUAUCUCUAUGCACCACACAUUGGUACUGUAUUUGGACUUAUUCUAGUAUAACAUAGGUAUCUACAAAGGUGUUUAGAAAACCUUAUAAAAAUAGUUUAUAAUAUGUCUAUUUGGACAGACUCUAUAGUCUAGAGUAACAUAAGUACUUACAAAAUGUUUAGGUAAAUUUAUAAAACUAUUUUAUGACAAUUCAAUGAUUUACAUUUUUGUUAUAUAGGUUCUCCAUAAGAUGUGUUUAUAGUCAACUUUUAGAGCGGGAAGAGUCUCAUGAUUUAUGUUUUAUGGUUUAUCAAUUAAAAUCGUUCAAAAUCGACUAGAUUCUUCAAAAUAACAUGAUUUGAAUAGGAAGUUUCUUUAGCUGGCCAUGGCCUGCCUUUGUUCAACUUUUUUUUUUAGGUAUUUCUUCUCCUAUAAAUAUUUUCACAUUUUGGUUAUAUAUCUCAUAAUAUAUUGGCAUUAAUUCUAAGUGCCAAAUUCACUAAUUUAGAACCAUGGCAAUCAAUACUUCAAGGACUCAAAUCCUUUUCAUUACCAUCAUUUCCUUCCUUAUUUUAGCUCAAAAUGUAAACUCAGCUGCAUUCACAGUCUCAAAUUUUGACCCAUACAAAACAAGCAUUGAACUCGAAGGCAACGCCUUCAUUUCAAACGGGUCCAUCCAUCUCACAAAUGUCGUCCCAAAUAGCGCUGGUAGAGCCUCUUGGGGUGGACCAGUGCGUCUUUGGGACGCACAUACCGGUGACCUUGCCGGCUUCACUUCCGUCUUUUCUUUUGUAGUUGCACCUACCGGCCCCGGACUCUUUGGAGAUGGAAUUACCUUCUUCAUUGCACCAUUCAACUCUCACAUCCCGAAAAAUUCGAGUGGUGGAUUCCUUGGACUAUUCAACGCGGAAACUGCUUUGAAUACAUACCAAAAUCGAAUCGUUGCCGUUGAAUUUGAUUCCUUUGGUGGAAAUCCUUGGGAUCCAGUGUAUCCCCAUGUUGGCAUUGAUGUGAACUCUAUUGCUUCAGUAACAACAGCUCCAUGGAAAACCGGAAGUGUUGCGAAUGGUUUCACCGCAAUUGCUUUUGUGAAUUACGAGCCUGUGGAGAAAAACUUAAGUGUUGUGGUAAGAUACCCUGGAGGCAAUUUUGUGAAUGGAACUUCUAGCAGUGUCUCAUUUAUCAUUGAUUUGAGGAGUGUGUUACCUGAAUGGGUUAGAAUUGGGUUUUCUGGUGCAACUGGACAAUUAGUUGAAUUGCACAAGAUUCUUUCAUGGACUUUUAAGUCAAGCUUCCAGUAAUGUGGU